rnacentral:rRNA from 1 species
GACGAACGCUGGCGGCGUGCUUAACACAUGCAAGUCGAACGGAAAGGCCCUGCUUUUGUGGGGUGCUCGAUUGGCGAACGGGUGAGUAACACGUGAGUAACCUGCCCCUGACUUUGGGAUAACUUCACGAAACUCCGGCUAAUACCCCGGAGGAGCUCCUGAUGCGUGGUGGUGAUUGGAAAGUUUCGGCCGUUGUGGAUCGACUCGCGGCUUAUGCGCUGGUUGGUGUGGUAGUUGCUGACCAAGGGUUUGACGGCUAGCCGGCAUGAGAGGGGUACCGGCGACAUAGGGCCUGAGAUACGGCGCAGACUGCUACGGGAGGCAGCGGUGGAGAAUAUUGCACAAUGGGCGGACGCCUGAUGCAGCAGCGCCGCGUGCGGGAUGACGGCCUUCGGGUUGUAAACCGCUUUCGCCUGUGACGAAGCGUGAGUGACGGUAAUGGGUAAAGAAGCACCGGCUAACUACGUG